GUGUGGGGGGGUCCCUCUUGUCCCCGUUAUAGCCGAGAAGGUUUGGGGCAUGCAGGUGGCUGGGGUCUGUGGGGUUUUAUCCGAAGAGGUGACAUCUCCACGUUUUGGUGACGUGUGGGGGGGCCCCUCUUGUCCCCGUUAUAGCCGAGAAGGUGACCUCGCUGGGAAAGGCCUGGCACCGGCCCUGCCUACGCUGCGAGCGCUGCAGCAAGACGCUGACCCCCGGGGGCCACGCCGAGCACGACGGGCAGCCCUACUGCCACAAGCCCUGCUACGGGAUCCUCUUCGGGCCCAAGGGCGUCAAUACCGGAGCCGUGGGCAGCUACAUCUACGACAAAGACCCUGAGGCGAAGAACCAGCCCUAGGCAGGCGGCCCCAUCACCUCCCGCACCUACAAGUACCGGAGCAGCCCUCGGCCACGGAGCUGUGCUCUCUGCUGUCUCUAUAGAACCUCUAGGUUCUAUGCCAUAGUCCCUAAUAUAAGCUUCAGUGUUUAAAGGCAAAGGUAGAAGGUGUCUCUGCUCAUCCCCUGUGCGCUCUGCCCUCCCCAGGAUGGUUGGCUGGGAUGGUCACUGCUGUCCUAGUGUUCCACCCAUCCCGCAGCUUCAGGGGAUGCUGUGACACUAGUGACACGCGGUCCCCCAGUGGCUCAGCUCCCGCAUUCCCAUCCUCGCAUUCCCCCCUCCCCCCUCCCAGCUCACCCCAUUGUGAGGUCCAGCUGCUCCCCAUGUCCAGGGGGGCGGGGGGUCAGAGCGCACUGGGCCCAGAGCCCGAGGUUUCCCAUCGCGGUGUUUAUUUAUGAGCUGUUGUCAUUGUGCUCCCGGCUGUGGGGACACCCCUCGCCCCGUCCCUGUGCGCACGCUGCUUGCGCUGCCCACCCACCCGGCCGUGCGCUCCCCGGACUUUUGUUAUUUGCUGAUAAUAAAGGUUUUGAGAGAGGCGGUGUGUGC
rnacentral:lncRNA from 1 species